CGUGAAAUUGUUGAAAGGGAAGCGCUUGCAACCAGACUUGCGCGCUGUUGAUCAUCCGAGCUUCUGCCCGGUGCACUCAGCAGCGUUCAGGCCAGCAUCGGUUUUGGUGGGCGGAUAAAGGCCUUGGGAAUGUAGCUUCUUUCGGGGAGUGUUAUAGCCCUCGGUGCAAUGCGCCCUACCGGGACCGAGGACCGCGCUUCGGCUAGGAUGCUGGCGUAAUGGUUGUAAGCGACCCGUCUUGAAACACGG
rnacentral:rRNA from 1 species